AACGAACGCUGGCGGCAUGCCUAACACAUGCAAGUCGAACGAGACCUUCGGGUCUAGUGGCGCACGGGUGCGUAACGCGUGGGAACCUGCCCUUAGGUUCGGAAUAACUCCCCGAAAGGGGUGCUAAUACCGGAUAAGGUCUUCGGACCAAAGAUUUAUCGCCGUUGGAUGGGCCCGCGUUGGAUUAGCUAGUUGGUAGGGUAAAAGCCUACCAAGGCGACGAUCCAUAGCUGGUCUGAGAGGAUGAUCAGCCACACUGGGACUGAGACACGGCCCAGACUCCUACGGGAGGGAGCAGUGGGGAAUAUUGGACAAUGGGCGAAAGCCUGAUCCAGCAAUGCCGCGUGAGUGAUGAAGGCCUUAGGGUUGUAAAGCUCUUUUACCCGGGAUGAUAAUGACAGUACCGGGAGAAUAAGCUCCGGCUAACUCCGUG
rnacentral:rRNA from 1 species